GACGAACGCUGGCGGCGUGCCUAAUACAUGCAAGUUGAGCGCUGAAGGUUGGUACUUGUACCAACUGGAUGAGCAGCGAACGGGUGAGUAACGCGUGGGGAAUCUGCCUUUGAGCGGGGGACAACAUUUGGAAACGAAUGCUAAUACCGCAUAAAAACUUUAAACACAAGUUUUAAGUUUGAAAGAUGCAAUUGCAUCACUCAAAGAUGAUCCCGCGUUGUAUUAGCUAGUUGGUGAGGUAAAGGCUCACCAAGGCGAUGAUACAUAGCCGACCUGAGAGGGUGAUCGGCCACAUUGGGACUGAGACACGGCCCAAACUCCUACGGGAGGCAGCAGUAGGGAAUCCUCGGCAAUAGACGAAAGUCUGACCGAGCAACGCCGCGUGAGUGAAGAAGGUUUUCGGAUCGUAAAACUCUGUUGGUAGAGAAGAACGUUGGUGAGAGUGGAAAGCUCAUCAAGUGACGGUAACUACCCAGAAAGGGACGGCUAACUACGUG
rnacentral:rRNA from 1 species